AAUGAACGCUAGCGGCAGGCCUAACACAUGCAAGUCGAGGGGUAGAACACUUCGGUGUUUGAGACCGGCGCACGGGUGCGUAACGCGUAUGCAAUCUACCUUGUACAGGGGAAUAGCCCAGAGAAAUUUGGAUUAAUGCCCCAUAGUAUAUAACCUUCGCAUGUUGGUUAUAUUAAAGUUCCAACGGUACAAGAUGAGCAUGCGUCCCAUUAGUUAGUUGGUAAGGUAACGGCUACCAAGACGAUGAUGGGUAGGGGUCCUGAGAGGGAGAUCCCCCACACUGGUACUGAGACACGGACCAGACUCCUACGGGAGGCAGCAGUGAGGAAUAUUGGUCAAUGGGCGCAAGACUGAACCAGCCAUGCCGCGUGCAGGAAGACGGUCCUAUGGAUUGUAAACUGCUUUUAUACAGGAAGAAACCCUCCCACGUGUGGGAGAUUGACGGUACUGUAGGAAUAAGGAUCGGCUACUCCGUGCCAGCCGCCGCAGUAAAAC
rnacentral:rRNA from 1 species